rnacentral:tRNA from 1 species
AAAAAAGUAAGCUAAUUAAAGCUAAUGGGCUCAUACCCCAUCAAUAGAACACCUCUCUUUUUUA